CAGCCGUAAACUAUGCGCGUUAGGUGUAUCGGUGACCACGAGUUACCGAGGUGCCGAAGGGAAACCGUGAAACGUGCCGCCUGGGAAGUACGGUCGCAAGGCUGAAACUUAAAGGAAUUGGCGGGGGAGCACCACAACAGGUGGAGCCUGCGAUUUAAUUGGACUCAACGCCGGGAAGCUCACCGGAUAGGACAGCAGAAUGAUUGCCGGGCUGAAGACUCUGCAUGACUAGCUGAGAGGAGGUGCAUGGCGUCAGUGACU
rnacentral:rRNA from 1 species